GACGUAGGGCGCGAGCGUUGUCCGGAUUUAUUGGGCGUAAAGAGCUCGUAGGCGGCUUGUCGCGUCGGCUGUGAAAACCCGUGGCUCAACUGUGGGCGGGCAGCUGAUACGGGCAGGCUGGAGUUCGGUAGGGGAGACUGGAAUUCCUGGUGUAGCGGUGAAAUGCGCAGAUAUCAGGAAGAACACCCGUGGCGAAGGCGGUUCUCUGGGACGGUACUGACGCUGAGACGCGAAAGCGUGGGGAGCGAACAGG
rnacentral:rRNA from 1 species